rnacentral:piRNA from 1 species
UAAACAAUUGUAUCCAGAUACUCCUGC